AGAGUUUGAUCAUGGCUCAGAUUGAACGCUGGCGGCAGGCCUAACACAUGCAAGUCGAACGGUAACAGGAAACAGCUUGCUGUUUCGCUGACGAGUGGCGGACGGGUGAGUAAUGUCUGGGAAACUGCCUGAUGGAGGGGGAUAACUACUGGAAACGGUAGCUAAUACCGCAUAACGUCGCAAGACCAAAGAGGGGGACCUUCGGGCCUCUUGCCAUCAGAUGUGCCCAGAUGGGAUUAGCUAGUAGGUGGGGUAACGGCUCACCUAGGCGACGAUCCCUAGCUGGUCUGAGAGGAUGACCAGCCACACUGGAACUGAGACACGGUCCAGACUCCUACGGGAGGCAGCAGUGGGGAAUAUUGCACAAUGGGCGCAAGCCUGAUGCAGCCAUGCCGCGUGUAUGAAGAAGGCCUUCGGGUUGUAAAGUACUUUCAGCGGGGAGGAAGGGAGUAAAGUUAAUACCUUUGCUCAUUGACGUUACCCGCAGAAGAAGCACCGGCUAACUCCGUGCCAGCAGCCGCGGUAAUACGGAGGGUGCAAGCGUUAAUCGGAAUUACUGGGCGUAAAGCGCACGCAGGCGGUUUGUUAAGUCAGAUGUGAAAUCCCCGGGCUCAACCUGGGAACUGCAUCUGAUACUGGCAAGCUUGAGUCUCGUAGAGGGGGGUAGAAUUCCAGGUGUAGCGGUGAAAUGCGUAGAGACCUGGAGGAAUACCGGUGGCGAAGGCGGCCCCCUGGACGAAGACUGACGCUCAGGUGCGAAAGCGUGGGGAGCAAACGGGAUUAGAUACCCUGGUAGUCCACGCCGUAAACGAUGUCGACUUGGAGGUUGUGCCCUUGAGGCGUGGCUUCCGGAGCUAACGCGUUAAGUCGACCGCCUGGGGAGUACGGCCGCAAGGUUAAAACUCAAAUGAAUUGACGGGGGCCCGCACAAGCGGUGGAGCAUGUGGUUUAAUUCGAUGCAACGCGAAGAACCUUACCUGGUCUUGACAUCCACGGAAGUUUUCAGAGAUGAGAAUGUGCCUUCGGGAACCGUGAGACAGGUGCUGCAUGGCUGUCGUCAGCUCGUGUUGUGAAAUGUUGGGUUAAGUCCCGCAACGAGCGCAACCCUUAUCCUUUGUUGCCAGCGGUCCGGCCGGGAACUCAAAGGAGACUGCCAGUGAUAAACUGGAGGAAGGUGGGGAUGACGUCAAGUCAUCAUGGCCCUUACGACCAGGGCUACACACGUGCUACAAUGGCGCAUACAAAGAGAAGCGACCUCGCGAGAGCAAGCGGACCUCAUAAAGUGCGUCGUAGUCCGGAUUGGAGUCUGCAACUCGACUCCAUGAAGUCGGAAUCGCUAGUAAUCGUGGAUCAGAAUGCCACGGUGAAUACGUUCCCGGGCCUUGUACACACCGCCCGUCACACCAUGGGAGUGGGUUGCAAAAGAAGUAGGUAGCUUAACCUUCGGGAGGGCGCUUACCACUUUGUGAUUCAUGACUGGGGUGAAGUCGUAACAAGGUAACCGUAGGGGAACCUGCGGUUG
rnacentral:rRNA from 1 species